rnacentral:rRNA from 1 species
CGCACGAGAAAGGGGCUUCCGGUCCCUGAGUAAAGUGGCGCACGGGUGAGUAACACGUGAAUGAUCUACCUUCGAGUGGGGAAUAACUGGGAGAAAUCUCAGCUAAUACCGCAUAAUACCUACGGGUCAAAGCAGCAAUGCGCUUGAAGAGGAGUUCGCGGCAGAUUAGUUAGUUGGCGGGGUAAUGGCCCACCAAGACGAUGAUCUGUAUCCGGCCUGAGAGGGCGCACGGACACACUGGAACUGGAACACGGUCCAGACUCCUACGGGAGGCAGCAGUGGGGAAUUUUGCGCAAUGGGGGAAACCCUGACGCAGCAACGCCGCGUGGAGGAUGAAGUAUCUUGGUACGUAAACUCCUUUCGAUGGGGAAGAUAAUGACGGUACCCAUAGAAGAAGCCCCGGCUAACUUCGUGCCAGCAGCCGCGGUAAUACGAGGGGGGCAAGCGUUGUUCGGAAUUAUUGGGCGUAAAGGGUGCGUAGGCGGUUUGAUAAGUCUGAUGUGAAAUCUCUGGGCUCAACCCAGAGUCUGCAUUAGAAACUGUCGGGCUUGAGUAUGGGAGAGGUGAGUGGAAUUUCCGGUGUAGCGGUGAAAUGCGUAGAUAUCGGAAGGAACACCUGUGGCGAAAGCGGCUCACUGGACCAUAACUGACGCUGAGGCACGAAAGCUAGGGGAGCAAACAGGAUUAGAUACCCUGGUAGUCCUAGCCCUAAACGAUGAUUGCUUGAUGUGG